ACAUGCAGAGAACUUUCCAGAGAUGGAUUGGUGCCUUCGGGAACGCUGACACAGGUGGCUGCAUGGCUGUCGUCAGCUCGUGUCGUGAGAUGUUGGGUUAAGUCCCGCAACGAGCGCAACCCUUGCCUUUAGUUGCCAGCAGUUCGGCUGGGCACUCUAAAGGGACUGCCGGUGUUAAACCGGAGGAAGGUGGGGAUGACGUCAAGUCCUCAUGGCCUUUAUGACCAGGGCUACACACGUACUACAAUGGCCGAUACAAAGGGCAGCGACACUGCGAGGUGAAGCCAAUCCCGUAAAAUCGGUCUCAGUCCGGAUUGGAGUCUGCAACUCGACUCCAUGAAGUUGGAAUCGCUAGUAAUCGUGGAUCAGCAUGCCACGGUGAAUACGUUCCCGGGCCUU
rnacentral:rRNA from 1 species